AGGACGAACGCUGGCGGCGUGCUUAACACAUGCAAGUCGAGCGAGGCCCUUCCUUCGGGAAGGUGCCCUAGCGGCGAACGGGUGAGUAACACGUGGGCAACCUGCCCCUAGCACUGGGAUAACUCCGGGAAACCGGGGCUAAUACCGGAUAUGACCUUUGAGGGCAUCCUCUGAGGUGUAAAGGAUUCUGGCUAGGGAUGGGCCCGCGGCCUAUCAGCUUGUUGGUGGGGUAAUGGCCUACCAAGGCGACGACGGGUAGCCGGCCUGAGAGGGCGACCGGCCACACUGGGACUGAGACACGGCCCAGACUCCUACGGGAGGCAGCAGUGGGGAAUAUUGCACAAUGGGCGAAAGCCUGAUGCAGCGACGCCGCGUGAGGGAUGACGGCCUUCGGGUUGUAAACCUCUUUCAGCAGGGACGAAGCGAAAGUGACGGUACCUGCAGAAGAAGCACCGGCCAACUACGCGCCAGCAGCCGC
rnacentral:rRNA from 1 species